AUUGAACGCUGGCGGCAUGCCUUACACAUGCAAGUCGAACGGCAGCACGGGAGCAAUCCUGGUGGCGAGUGGCGAACGGGUGAGUAAUAUAUCGGAACGUGCCCAGUCGUGGGGAUAACGUAGCGAAAGCUACGCUAAUACCGCAUACGAUCUAUGGAUGAAAGCGGGGGAUCGCAAGACCUCGCGCGAUUGGAGCGGCCGAUAUCAGAUUAGGUAGUUGGUGAGGUAAAGGCUCACCAAGCCGACGAUCUGUAGCUGGUCUGAGAGGACGACCAGCCACACUGGGACUGAGACACGGCCCAGACUCCUACGGGAGGCAGCAGUGGGGAAUUUUUGGGACAAUGGGCGCAAGCCUGAUCCAGCAAUGCCGCGUGCAGGAUGAAGGCCUCGGUUGUAACUAGC
rnacentral:rRNA from 1 species